rnacentral:rRNA from 1 species
CCUACGGGUGGCAGCAGUGAGGAAUAUUGGUCAAUGGCCGGAAGGCUGAACCAGCCAUGCCGCGUGAAGGUCAGUGCCCUAUGGGCGUUAAACUUCUUUUGUGCGGGAGCAAUAAUGGUCACGUGUGGCCAGACGAGAGUACCGUACGAAUAAGCAUCGGCUAACUCCGUGCCAGAAGCCGCGGUAAUACGGGGGAUGGGAGCGUUAUCCGGAUUUAUUGGGUUUAAAGGGGGCGUAGGCUGUGAGGUAAGUCAGCGGUGAAAUGCCCGCGCUCAACGGGGUGAACUGCCAUUGAUACUGCCUGGCUGGAGUGGGGAAGAAGUGGGCGGAAUGGGUGGUGUAGCGGUGAAAUGCAUAGAUAUCACGCAGAACACCGAUUGCGAAGGCAGCACAC